rnacentral:lncRNA from 1 species
CUCCUAUUAAAACACUGUUGGAGUUUCCUUUAUUCUGCCAGUUACCUGGUGGACGACCCGACCUCCUAUUAAAACACUGUUGGUGUUUCCUUUAUUCUGCCAGUUACCUGGUGGUUGGUGGAGGACCUGGAGUUUCCUUUAUUCUGCCAGUUACCUGGUGGACGACCCGACCUCCUAUUAAAACACUGUUGGAGUUUCCUUUAUUCUGCCAGUUACCUGGUGGUUGGUGGAGGACCUGGAGUUUCCUUUAUUCUGCCAGUUACCUGGUGGAGGACCCGACCUCCUAUUAAAACACUUUAUGUUGCUGUUUCCUUCACAAGGUUCAUUUCCAUCUUGCUGUUUGUUGAAAGGUCAAGAUGUUUGGAUGUGUAUUUUAUUCUUCUGAUUGUUACAGAUUGGCUAAAUGCAGACAAAAUGCAACCCAAAACAGUCUUACCACAGUGUGCUUAUUGUGUGUGUGUGUGUGUGUGUGUGUGUGUGCGUGUGCUUAUUGUGUGUGUGUGUGUGUUGCGUCAGGUCUGCUUUCACCUAGUUAUGUAUAGCUGUUGUGUUUCAAUGUCAAAGUAUUAUUCAGGUCCUGAGGGCCAAAACAUUUCUGCUUUCUCUUCCUACCUGAUGUCCCCAGGUCUGAAUGAGUCUCUCUACCUGAUGUCCCCAGGUCUGAAUGAGUCUCUCUACCUGAUGUCCCCAGGUCUGAAUGAGUCUCUCUACCUGAUGUCCCCAGGUCUGAAUUAGUCUCUCUACCUGAUGUCCCCAGGUCUGAAUGAGUCUCAGGUCUGAAUGAGUCUCUCUACCUGAUGUCCCCAGGUCUGAAUGAGUCUCUCUACCUGAUGUCCCCAGGUCUGAAUGAGUCUCAGGUCUGAAUGAGUCUCUCUACCUGAUGUCCCCAGGUCUGAAUGAGUCUCUCUACCUGAUGUCCCCAGGUCUGAACGAGUCUCUCUACCUGAUGUCCCCAGGUCUGAACGAGUCUCUCUACCUGAUGUCCCCAGGUCUGAAUGAGUCUCUCUACCUGAUGUCCCCAGGUCUGAAUGAGUCUCUCUACCUGAUGUCCCCAGGUCUGAAUGAGUCUCAACCUGUUGUCCCCAGAUCUGAACGAGUCUCGGGUCUGAACGAGUCUCGGAUUACAGGUAGAGGAUGAGAACCAGUAGUGUUUCGUCCCUCCAGGACCAGAAAGAAAUAGCCCUUGGCUAGAUUCAAUCUGAUCCGCAGAAGAUCCGGGUUAUAGUUCACCUUUAAAAAAAACCAAAAAGGUAAUUUACGAUUGAGCCUACUGUUAACGUGGAAACUUUACCUUUUAAUAAGGUGCACAGCCGAAAAGAGGAGAUCGGAUUUGAAUCUAGGAACAGCUUCCUCCCUCCCUCCAGUCCUAACGAGGGGUGAGAGAUAUAUAUAUAUAUGGGUCCCGUGUGGCUCAGUUGGUAGAGCAUGGGUGUUUGCAACGCCAGGGUUGUGGGUUCGAUUCCCACGGGGGACCAAUACGUGGGGGGGGGGGGAAAUGUCUGAAAUGUAUGCAUUCACUACUGUAAGUCGCUCUGGAUAAGAGCGUCUGCUAAAAUAACUAAAAUGUAAAUGUUAAUAACUGAUCUAGGAUCAGUUUCCUCCCUCCAGUCCUAACAGGUCACCAUUAGAGAGGUGAUAUAUAUAUAUAUAUAUAUACUGAUCUAGGAUCAGUCCUAACAGGUCACCAUUAGAGAGGUGAUAUAUAUAUAUAUAUAACUGAUCUAGGAUCAGUCCUAACGGGUCACCAUUAGAGAGGUGAUAUAUAUAACUGAUCUAGGAUCAGUCCUAACAGGUCACCAUUAGAGAGGUGAUAUAUAUAUAUAUAUAUAUAUAUAUAACUGAACUAGGACCAGUGUUAAACAGAGCUGAAUGUCUGUCUGGUUCAUACCAUUUAUGAUGCUGAUGUAUUGUUAUUAUAAUGACAUUAAAUUAUUGAAUGUUUCUGUC